UCAAGGCAUAAGGCUUUGCAACCCGUACCUAGAGUUAGCGUUUUCUGUUAGAUCAAGGCCUAAGGCUUUUCAACCCGUACCUCGACCUAACGUUGUGUUAGACCAGACUAGUCAAAUAUCAGAGUACUCAUGAAGCGCAUAUAAAACGAUUACUUUUAUUUAUUUAGGAAAUAUUCAUACAUUGAAUAAUUCAAGACUGGGCCCGGCCUAAUGCCAAAUCGAGUCAACUUAACACAAUUCACAAUACCGUUUACAAAAGGCAUGAAAAUCUACACCGGCGGUCCUAACGUCCAGCACCAAGCUAUCCGAUCAUCCUUACCUAAAGCGACCUGGAAAAAGGACAACAGAGUUUGAUGAGUAAUCUAGUAUUACUCAGUGAGCUGGCGGCCUCUACCCGCAACCU
rnacentral:lncRNA from 1 species